UACAGAGGUCUCAAGCGUUGUUCGGAUUCAUUGGGCGUAAAGGGUGUGUAGGUGGCGCGCUAAGUCACUUGUGAAAUCUCCGGGCUUAACUCGGAAAGGUCAAGUGAUACUGUCGGACUAGAGUACAGAAGGGGCAACUGGAAUUCUCGGUGUAGCGGUGAAAUGCGUAGAUAUCGAGAGGAACACCUGCGGCGAAGGCGGGUUGCUGGGCUGAUACUGACGCUGAGGCGCGAAAGCUAGGGGAGCGAACGGG
rnacentral:rRNA from 1 species